AUUGAACGCUGGCGGCAUGCCUUACACAUGCAAGUCGAACGGUAACAGGUCUUCGGAUGCUGACGAGUGGCGAACGGGUGAGUAAUACAUCGGAACGUGCCUAGUAGUGGGGGAUAACUACUCGAAAGAGUGGCUAAUACCGCAUGAGAUCUACGGAUGAAAGCAGGGGAUCGCAAGACCUUGUGCUACUAGAGCGGCCGAUGGCAGAUUAGGUAGUUGGUGGGAUAAAAGCUUACCAAGCCGACGAUCUGUAGCUGGUCUGAGAGGACGAUCAGCCAAACUAGGCCUGGGACACGGCCCAGACUCCUACGGGAGGCAGCAGUGGGGAAUUUUGGACAAUGGGCGCAAGCCUGAUCCAGCAAUGCCGCGUGCAGGAUGAAGGCCUUCGGGUUGUAAACUGCUUUUGUACGGAACGAAAAGCCCUGGGUUAAUACCCUGGGGUCAUGACGGUACCGUAAGAAUAAGCACCGGCUAACUACGUGCCAGCCGCCGCAGUAAGAC
rnacentral:rRNA from 1 species